rnacentral:rRNA from 1 species
UAAACCUACGGGAGGCAGCAGUGGGGAAUAUUGCGCAAUGGGCGAAACCCUGAUGCAGCGACGCCGCGUGUGGGAAGACGGUCCUCUGGAUUGUAAACCACUGUCCCCAGGGACGAAAAUGACGGUACCUGGGGAGGAAGCUCCGGCUAACUACGUGCCAGCAGCCGCGGUAAUACGUAGGGAGCGAGCGUUGUCCGGAAUUACUGGGUGUAAAGGGAGCGUAGGCGGGAGAGCAAGUCGACUGUGAAAUCUAUGGGCUUAACCCAUAGCUGCGAUCGAAACUGUUCAUCUUGAGUGAAGUAGAG